rnacentral:rRNA from 1 species
GACGAACGCUGGCGGCGUGCUUAAUACAUGCAAGUCGAGCGAGGUUACUGUUUUGGAUCCCUUCGGGGUGAAGAAGCUUUAACCUAGCGGCGGACGGGUGAGUAACGCGUGGGUAACCUACCCCAAAGUCCGGGAUAACAGCGGGAAACCGCUGCUUAAUACCGGAUGCCUUUACCUUGGGGCAUCUUGAGGUAAAGAAAGGUAACGCUUUGGGAUGGGCCCGCGUCCCAUUAGCUAGUUGGUGAGGUAACGGCUCACCAAGGCGACGAUGGGUAGCCGGCCUGAGAGGGUGGACGGCCACACUGGGACUGAGACACGGCCCAGACUCCUACGGGAGGCAGCAGUAGGGAAUAUUGCGCAAUGGACGGAAGUCUGACGCAGCGACGCCGCGUGAGCGAUGAAGGUCUUCGGAUCGUAAAGCUCUGUCCUUGGGGAAGAAGGUCUUCGGACUUGACGGUACCCAAGAAGAAAGCCCCGGCUAACUACGUG